rfam:Ricinus communis cultivar Hale ctg_1100012356679, whole genome shotgun sequence.
AAUCGAUAGUGUGGGCGUUGCAAUAGAAAUGAUUUGAAGCAAUCCCAUGCUUCAUGAAAAGAUUCAACAUUCUUUUGAUAAAAAUUAAAAAAUUCAGCUCUUAAGUU